UACGUAGGAGGCGAGCGUUGUCCGGAAUUACUGGGCGUAAAGAGCGCGUAGGCGGCGCUGUACGACCGCUGUGAAAGCCCCCGGCUCAACUGGGGAGGGUCAGCGGUAACGGCAGUGCUACGAGUGCAGGAGAGGGAAGUGGAACUCCGGGAGUAGCGGUGAAAUGCGUAGAUACCCGGAGGAACACCAGGUGGCGAAGGCAAUCCCCUGGGCCUGCACUGACGCUCGAUGCACGAAAGCGUGGGGAGCAAACAGG
rnacentral:rRNA from 1 species